GAUGAACGCUGGCGGCGUGCCUAAUACAUGCAAGUCGAGCGAAUGGAUUAAGAGCUUGCUCUUAUGAGGUUAGCGGCGGACGGGUGAGUAACACGUGGGUAACCUGCCCAUAAGACUGGGAUAACUCCGGGAAACCGGGGCUAAUACCGGAUAAUAUUUUGAACUGCAUGGUUCAAAAUUGAAAGGCGGCUUCGGCUGUCACUUAUGGAUGGACCCGCGUCGCAUUAGCUAGUUGGUGAGGUAACGGCUCACCAAGGCAACGAUGCGUAGCCGACCUGAGAGGGUGAUCGGCCACACUGGGACUGAGACACGGCCCAGACUCCUACGGGAGGCAGCAGUAGGGAAUCUUCCGCAAUGGGCGAAAGUCUGACGGAGCAACGCCGCGUGAGUGAUGAAGGCUUUCGGGUCGUAAAACUCUGUUGUUAGGGAAGAACAAGUGCUAGUUGAAUAAGCUGGCACCUUGACGGUACCUAACCAGAAAGCCACGGCUAACUACGUGCCAGCCGCCGCGGUAA
rnacentral:rRNA from 1 species